rnacentral:lncRNA from 1 species
GUGGUCAGGAAGAAGUCAAAUCUUCUAGAGGAGGUAGGUCACUCCUGCCCCUUAACGCCUCAGUCCAGCUCUCCUCUAGGACCUCAGAGACUCCACUUCGCCCAUUUGCCAGUCAGUUCUUGCACUUUUCCACGGUGGAAAAUAUUCUUAUAUUGCUGCCAGUGCAGAAUCAACCACUGACCUACCAGAAUCCACCAUGGACCUGGAGUCACCCACAGAUGUGUACCUGGAGAACACCCAGGCUUUCCAAAAUGAAGCAAAUUCUCCAUUAGCUGUGAUGAUCACUGCUAUCCACUACUUUCUAAGAAGAUUCUAUGCUUUUGAGCAUGCCUACCACUACACUAUAGGAGAUCUAUUGUAGAAGACUAGAAAAACAUAGGAUGUGCCCAGCUGAGGCAUUGAUCCUGGCUGGGUAGGGGGAAUUGUUCAGGGAUGGGGAAGGGGCACUUCUUAGCUGUGUCUCAUCGAGUACGGG